rnacentral:lncRNA from 1 species
GUGACAUCUGAGUUUAGAGAGGUCCUGAGAAGAGGCCUCACUCAGGUGCUCUGGUCAUCAGUCCCAGGAGCCCAGCCUUCGAGUCAUCCCAGCCCGGCCCCAGACGUAAGUGAUGAGGCUUCCAGAUGAUUCCUGCCCCAGCUGUUCAGGGCUCCCAGCAGAGAAGAGCUGUACCCACAGAGCCCUGCUUGGCUUCUUGACCUGCGGAAUCCAUAACCGUGUUACACCCCUAAGUUCUGGGAUGGUUCAUUAUAACAACAGAUCACCGGAUCACCUUAUCUUUUGUAAUAAACUGGCAAACGAAGAGGAAGAGAGACCAGAGACAUCUACCUAUCCCCCACCUCCCACCGUGCAUACACAGAAGAGGCUACGCAAAGACAAAUGAAGGACACAGCUGUCAGCCACGGAGAGAAGCCUCAUUAGAAGCCAGCCUUGCCAGCUCCUUCAUCUUGGACUUCUAGCCUGUGUAUCUGUGAGAAAGUAAAUUUCUGUUGUUUAAGAAAAAAAAAGAAAAUUAGCUAUUAGAACCCACUGCAAUU